GCGCCGCGGCGGGGCCAUGAAGGACUGCGAGUACCGGCAGAUCCCGCCCGGGGCGGCGGCGGCGACUCCGGGCCCGGGCACAGCCGCCUCGCCGCCCCCGCCGCCCGCCGUCCCCCCGCGGCCGCGGCGGCCCCGCAGGAAGUGGGAGGUGUUCCCGGGCCGCAACCGCUUCUUCUGCGGCGGCCGCCUCAUGCUGGCGCGGCACAGCGGCGUCUUCGUCCUCACCCUCGGCCUCAUCCUCGUCACCAGCGGCCUCUUCUUCGCCUUCGACUGCCCCUUCCUUGCCACUCACCUGACCUUGGCCAUCCCCAUCAUCGCCGCCGUCCUCUUCUUCUUUGUCAUCAGCUGCCUGCUCCAGACAAGCUUCAGAGACCCAGGAAUCCUGCCCAGAGCCACCCCAAGUGAGGCAGCAGACCUGGAAAAACGGAUUGACAGCAUGGGGACCUCCACGUACCGCCCUCCCGCCCGCACCAUGGAGGUGGUGAUCAACAAGUACGUGGUGAAGCUCAAGUACUGCUACACCUGCAAGAUGUUCCGCCCCCCGCGCACCUCGCACUGCAGCGUCUGCGACAACUGCGUCGAGAGAUUCGAUCACCACUGCCCCUGGGUGGGGAACUGCGUGGGGAAGCGCAACUAUCGCUACUUCUACGCCUUCAUCCUCUCCCUCUCCUUCCUGACCGCCUUCAUCUUCGCCUGCGUCGUCACCCACCUCACCCUGCGCUCUCAGAGGGAUGGAUUCCUGGCCACUCUGAAGACCACACCCGCGAGUGUGCUGGAGCUGGUGAUCUGUUUUUUCUCAGUCUGGUCUAUUUUGGGCCUCUCAGGUUUUCACACUUAUUUAGUCGCCUCCAACCUGACGACGAAUGAAGAUAUCAAAGGGUCCUGGUCAAAUAAGAGGGGCUCGGAGUUUGCCAAUCCCUACAGCCAUAAAAGUAUCCUCACGAACUGCUGUGCGGUGCUGUGUGGACCAUUCCAUCCCAGUUUGAUAGACAGAAGAGGAUUUAUCCAGCCAGAUAACGGGACCCCAUCCAGUCCUAAGAGCGAAAUCCCUUCCUUUGGAGCCAAAACUGACACCAGCAUGGAGGAUGCCUGCCAGGACUUUGCCAUUUCCUGCACAGCCUGACGGGAUUUGCCUCUCCUCGGACCUUAGCCCUGAUUUCUGAGGGUUGGCUGGAUGCAGCACCCGGAGCCCUGGCAGCCCGCAGCCCUCCGCCUCCCGUGGCGCAUCCCACGGGAAGCUGAGCCCACAGCCAUGACCACCACGAGUGCCUCCGCUCGCCAGGGCUGCGCGGCCGCGCCUCCCUCCCUCCCGCCGCCAGGGAGAGGGGAGGGGAAAAGCGGCCGUGCACAAGGAAAAAAACAAAAAAAAACCUUUUCCAACCCCGCUCCGGGAGCCGGGACGGCCCGUCCCGCGGGUUCGGAGCUCAAAGCCAUACAGCCGUCCCACCCGAGUGCAAUAACUGGAGUUCCUGCUGUCUCCUGCCGCCGGUGGCUCCCCGGUGUGACCCUCAGUGACGGUGUCUCCCCGCUGCAGAUGCUGGAAGGUCGUGGCUGGCACCCCAGCGGGGUUUUGGAAGGAGCAGGCUCGCAGCAGAACGUUUACAGCCCAGCCAGUGGCAUCACACACCCAACCCCACCAGCCCUUCCGUGUGCCAGAGGAUUCUCCUCUCCGGACAGGAGUUAGUACAUGGUCAGUUUGCCCUUGCAAGCCCCCUGGCUCCCUGUUUCCAGCCUCAUCUUAGCCCAGCUCUAGUUUUAGGGGAAGGGGUUCCAGCCCUGCAGCACCUCGAGCAGCCUUCCCUGCUCCGGCCGGGCUGGGAGCUGAGCGGAGCAGCCAGGCCUGCCCCCAGCCCUGUAGGACUCACCAUCUAUUUAUGCCUUUGACUUUUGUAACAAAAAUAAAAGUUUCU